rnacentral:lncRNA from 1 species
GGAGGUUGCCGAGGUGGAGGACCUCGAUGCCACCGUCUGGAGGAUGCUGAGGUGAAGGACCUCGACUCCUUGGUAGAUACAUUUAGAAAAGUGGUCUGGUUAGGUUGGUGGUGGGACGCUAGGGAAGGUACCCACCUUUCGUGAUGGUUGUGUGCAUCUGAUGUAUAAAUGGGAUCUCAUGAUUUCUUUGAGUUCAGAUUUUCAAUGUUGUAUACAUGAACGCUGCAAGUGCUACGAUGGUUUUGUG